UGUGAUGUGACGUAGUGGAA
rnacentral:piRNA from 1 species